rnacentral:rRNA from 1 species
CUGGCUCAGAAUGAACGCUGGCGGCAGGCCUAACACAUGCAAGUCGAACGGGACCUUCGGGUCUAGU